UACGUAGGUGGCAAGCGUUAUCCGGAAUUAUUGGGCGUAAAGCGCGCGUAGGCGGUUUUUUAAGUCUGAUGUGAAAGCCCACGGCUCAACCGUGGAGGGUCAUUGGAAACUGGAAAACUUGAGUGCAGAAGAGGAAAGUGGAAUUCCAUGUGUAGCGGUGAAAUGCGCAGAGAUAUGGAGGAACACCAGUGGCGAAGGCGACUUUCUGGUCUGUAACUGACGCUGAUGUGCGAAAGCGUGGGGAUCAAACAGGAUUAGAUACCCUGGUAGUCCACGCCGUAAACGAUGAGUGCUAAGUGUUAGGGGGUUUCCGCCCCUUAGUGCUGCAGCUAACGCAUUAAGCACUCCGCCUGGGGAGUACGACCGCAAGGUUG
rnacentral:rRNA from 1 species